UGAGCAAUCUGCCCUUCUCUUUGGAAUAAGCGUUGGAAACGACGUCUAAUGCCGAAUACGACCUCCUUUCGCAUGAUCGGAGGUGGAAAGCUCCGGCGGAGAAGGAUGAGCUCGCGGCCUAUCAGCUAGUUGGUAGGGUAACGGCCUACUAAGGCGACGACGCGUAGCGGGUCUGAGAGGACCGACCCGUCACAUUGGGACUGAGAUACGGCCCAGACCUCCGUACGGGGAGCAGCGAGGG
rnacentral:rRNA from 1 species